UUUGUUUAGAAGGAGCUCAGGCAGAAUAACCUGGUAACUCCCAAAGCGAAAAUACGGACUUGCUCCUUGUUCAUUUCCAGGUCUGCUGGACCUGAGCCGGAAUGAAGGGGUUGGAUCCUCAGAUGAUGGGACGUGCUGUGGAGUGGCCAUGUUUGCUGUGAUUCUGGGUAUUCAAAAGCAACAACUGCUGACUUCUCCAUACACGCUGCAAACUGCUGGUAGCUUUGGCUCAGUCCAGUAAACAGUUAUCAAGUGGUGACUUUGCCGCGCCAGCAAGAGGGAUUCCAUGGUUCGCCACCCGGAACAGGGUGCUUUCUUCCAUCACCCAGGCCAGAAAAGCACUGAAAAUCUCAAAGGUGGAAACACAGAGCAUCAAAGCAUGGAUUGGAAGACCAGAGGCUUGAUUUGGAAAGCACACACCAGGCAGCCCCAAAUCCCACAUCCCGAUGCCUUUUCUUUCUCUUGUCCUUUUGUUCAUAAUGCAUGCAUUCUGACCUCAUCUCCUCCAUCCCACUGAGCCCGCACCACCUUGAGCGAUUCAGUGGCUGUAAACUCCCCUGCCGACUUUGUUUUGGCUGGAAUUGCAACCCGUAUAUGGGAGAAUCAAGCUGAAACAUCACAGGGCUAACGGCGCGCCUCUGUGCAGUGGUGGCUGGUCAGGAGAAAAAGGUGACAUCAUGGCUAUUCCAGGACUUUGGGUCCGCAGCAUAAGUGACUUCCCUGCUGCACAGCAGAGUCAGAACCUGGACCCGCGACAAAAACAACUCUCCCUUCCCAUAAAUAUCUGCGCUGGGGCUCAAAAAAUAUUCUAAGUGCAACGGCUCAGAAAUGGUCCCUUGCCUUGGAGACCCAUCCGAUUUUCCAAAUCCAAUCACAAACUUUUUAAUAGCAUGUCAUGAACCUCUCAGCUCAUUAUUUCUCUUCAAAGCCCUCCGGUUGGCCAGCUUGGAGCCUGUGAACUGUUGUUUGAUGAUGUGUUGCACCAUAAAUAAACGCAUAGGACAUACUAAAAAUCCAUCCUUUACUACUUCUGGCUUUCCCACUAGGAAUACUGCCAUAUAAUCAGGGAUGUGUGAUUUGCAGCAAUUGCUCUGAAUUGUGGAUGCUUUUUUUUUUUUUUUUUAACAUGUCCAGUGUGUGAUGUAGGUAAUAGAACAGAUUUAUCACGGUUACAUAAAUCUCAUUUUUUUUUCUCUUCCUGUUCUGUCCCGUCUCCUCUCACCCCUCACAUGGUUAGGACGUUGGGAGCCAAGAGUAAGAAUAUAGACAAACCCUCUAAAAGAGCAAUCACAGCUCUAACCAUUCCUCCCAGUAGGAAAUCAAGGCACUGGAUAAUUUACUAUGCCUUUACUAUCUGUUG